rnacentral:tRNA from 1 species
GAUAGAGUGGCUGAAGUAAUAGGCGGUAAAUUGUAAAUUUAUUCAUGGUCGAUGACCCUUUAUCA